rnacentral:rRNA from 1 species
AGCCUUUAGCCCAACAAGUAUUAAAGGUAAUGCCUGCCCAGUGAUUUUUUUCAACGGCCGCGGGAUCCUAUACCGUGCAAAGGUAGCAUAAUCACUUGUCAUCUAAAUAAUGACUAGUAUGAACGGCCCCAUGAGGAUUUUCCUGUCUCUUAUAACCAAUCAAUGAAACUGAUCUUUCAGUCCAAAAGCUGAAAUAACCCCACAAGACGAAAAGACCCUGUGGAACUUCUAAGUGCUAAGCAAUUAAUGAUUAAUCACUUUUAGUUGGGGCAACUUUGGAACAAAACAAAACUUCCAAUAUGGGGGUACUAAAUUACUUAAAUCUAGGCCCACCUGCCAAUCUUUAAACCCCUAUUUGAUCCAGCACCGCUGAUAAAAGAAACAAGCUACCCCAGGGAUAACAGCGCCAUCCCCUCCUAGAGUCCCAAUCGACGAGCGGGGCUUACGACCUCGAUGUUGGAUCAGGGCCCCCAAACAGUGCAGCAGCUGUUAAAGGUUUGUUUGUUCAACAAUUAAUGCCCU